GAGAGCCGUAUGCAUUGAAAGGUGCACGUACGGUUCGGGAAAGGAUUAUUAAAUAAAGAUAUAUUAAUAUAAAUAUAUGAAGGUUUAAUCUUCUAUUUCAC
rfam:Pichia membranifaciens DNA, contig: CON245, strain: KS47-1.